GAUUCCAUGGCCCAAUGGAUAAGGUGCUGGUCUAUAAAACUAGAAAUUUUGCGUUCGAUCCCCAAUGGAGUCG
rfam:Ipomoea nil DNA, scaffold: scaffold0114, cultivar: Tokyo-kokei standard.